CCAUCCAAACUAAAUGGACCAGGGAAACUGCAAAAGGAUUCAAAGCGGCGUCCAACCGAAGUGCACCAGGUUCUUCCUGCAAAAAUCAGUAAAGUAAACCUCAAGAGUUGCACUUAGAUUUAUCUACAGAAAAACACAAAAACAGUGCGCAUGGGGGGUGAGCCACCAGCCUGUGCAAGUCAACUGCACCUGCCCGGGGCCCGAACUGCAUGGCCACAGCAAACGCACCGCUGCAAGCCAACUGCACUAUUGCGACAGACCAUCGGGGGACCCUUCCAAAGCGAACUGCAACCCCACUGCUCCGUCGUCAUCCUUGAGCAAGCAGUUUGCCCUAGCUGAGCGACAUGGGCAAGAGGGGCUCUGGGCGGCUCACCAGAAGUAUCUCCCCGGUG
rnacentral:lncRNA from 1 species